UACGUAGGUGGCGAGCGUUGUCCGGAUUUACUGGGCGUAAAGAGCGCGCAGGCGGUCGAUCAAGUCGAAUGUGAAAGCCCCCGGCUCAACUGGGGAGGGUCAUUCGAUACUGUCCGACUCGAAGGCAGGAGAGGGAAGCGGAAUUCCCGGUGUAGUGGUGAAAUGCGUAGAUAUCGGGAGGAACACCAGUGGCGAAGGCGGCUUUCUGGCCUGUUCUUGACGCUGAGGCGCGAAAGCCAGGGGAGCAAACGGG
rnacentral:rRNA from 1 species